ensembl:snRNA U7 U7 small nuclear RNA
UAGCGUUACUGCUUUUUUAGAAUUUGUCUAGCAGGUUUUCCGGUGGCUACCAGAAAGCACCCCU